rnacentral:lncRNA from 1 species
UGGACAGUUUGGCUGAGCCCUCUCCUUCUCCAGGCGUCCUGACCUGACAACCAUCACUCUUGAGACGCUCUGUCUGACUCUGGGAAUACAGUCUAUUUGGAACUCAGUAAAAUGCUGGAGUUUUAAAGGAUGCCAGCCUUUUCAAAGAUGUCUGUGUAAUUUAAGCAGCAGGGGGAACAACCACACAGUUGUAGCUGCUCUGGGGAAAGGAUGCCAGGAGGCUCAUAAAUCAUGGUAAGGAUUAAAAGCAAUGAGUAUUCAUCUUCUUAGCCUCGUAAAGGCAGUAUUGGAAAGCCAAGGGUUAGAACGUACAGAGCCUGGAAUCUUCGUGCAGGGAUAAAAGGUGUCAAAGUUUUUCAGGCUUUUCUCAAUUAACACUGACCUGCCAUUUGCAAGUCAGCAGAACAUAAUUUUAAAGCUGGUUUUAAAAAGCCUCCUCUCCGGAGAGAAAAUGAGUGGGCGAAAUCAGAGAGGGUGACAAAGCAUGAGGGACUCCUAACUGGGAAACGAACAAGGGGUAGUGGAAAGGGAGGUGGGCAGGGGGAUGGGGUGACUGGGUGACAGGCACUGAG